GCCGUGAAUAUUAUUGUUGCCUUGCGUGUUGAUGCUUGGUUGUUGUGGGGCGCAUUAUUGUUGCUUGUUGCUUGAGGUACCGUGAGCUUGAGUUGAUUGGGUGUUGCUUGCGUGAAGUUGAGCUUUACUUGUGGAAACUCAUUAUUGCCGUGAGUAUUGUUGUUACUUGUGGAGCUUGAGUGAGCUACGGGUAUUGAGAGAUUGGGU
rnacentral:misc_RNA from 1 species